ACUGCCACAGUAUCGACAUCUCUUUCCCUUUACGUGCCGUAGCUCUGUCAAAUAGUCAGUGACCACACAGUUUUCGCAGUACCACGGCCACACGCACACAGUGGCAGUCUAGCUGACGUUCUGUUAAUUAGUGCAUUAAACACGGUUCAUUUAGUAUCAUAUUCCAUCAGUGUAGCCACCGCGUACACGCGAUCGUUCUACGCUGCACUAAGUACACUUGCUGAACGGUGUUACGUUGAAAACGGUGACAAUUAUUAUUUUACGAACGCCGCGUCACGUCUCUAACAAGAUUUUGUCAAACGCCUCGCCGUUAGCUGCAAUUAUCUCGAUGGUAAUCCCUGUUCAAUCCACACCUUCGGUAGAUCGCUAUUAUUAACAUUGUAACAUGUACACCUGAUCCGUUUCCAAUUACAUUGUUGACAAUUAUUGUUCACGCUUUAGCACCACCGCCGUUCAAUCUGCUCCGAGCACUCUCAUUACCAGUAUUAUACACGGGGGCGUUCUUUUUUUCGUUCGUCAACAAUUGAUAUUUCAUCGGUUCCCAGCGUGUGCUGGCAAGUAUGCUCAUCGUUCGAUGAUGCGUUACAAUACAUUGACAAUUAUUGAUUAAUCCGUAGAUACUCUGUUUCAUUGGUAACGAGUUCUUUCGAUUCUGCGUUUAUCCAUCGGGAUGCAUUAAUCAUCGUUUUACUCAAUGUUCAUUCAUAGGGGAUUGUGAGAUCCAUCCGUGCCCGAUGGUUCAUCCAUAUUGCUGGGUCUAAGUACAACUUGACGAAUGUCAAAUCUACGGCAAAACCUCGACGGUCAUUAUUAGACGUGUACAUUUUAUCAUGAUUGUUCCUGUUUUUUUCUUUUCCAUUGGUUUUGCAAGUCAAGAAACAAGGGAGCCAUCUGUAAAAUGUAAAUGGAAUGCUCAAUUUUCGUUUUAUUCGACCAUUUUGGCUCCCAAGAAUUUCUGAUCAUUCAGCAACUGCAUCCGCGUUUCUUUUUCUUCUAUGAAUAAAACGUACGUUUUCUGAAUCUGAGAAUAUUGCAUCAGAACAAAAGAAUUCCUGUUCAGAGGCGUUUUUAUCAGUUCGAAGGUAACGGUUAGAAUUGGUGAUUUUUCACAUACCGAAGGAAAUUUCGAUAGCGUGAAAUAUUUCGACUACUUGAUAAAAUUAAGUAUUUCUGUACAAGAGUAAACGUUUCACGGUAUUACCGAAGUUCAUACAGGGCAUAUUGACCGUCGAUUUUCGAGUAAAUCUCACGGCUUAAAAUUGACGAGCAUUAUUUUAUCUAUGUGUAACGAGACAACUGUUAACUGUUAUUAUAUCAGCUCUCGUUAUUAACCAGCUUUCACGUUUUUACCUAUUUUAUAAUGAGAUCCAAUUACAUUUGAAAGUAGAUAAUUAAUAUUGUAAUUACAUCAGAAGGCGGGGAGUACGUUUCUCAAGUACUGACCUAACUAAAUCUUCAUUUUUAAAAUCAAUUUCAUUUUUUACUGUUUUGUGGAAAGCCUGCCUGGUUUUCGUGGUUCCUCUUAGAAAUAGACGCGAAUAUAUUCAAAUCUAUAAAAUCGUGAAUAAAUUUCAAUGAAAACGAAAAGGAAGAAAUGGUCCCGAAGCAGAAUUCAAAUUGGAUGCAUUCAGAGUUCUCAAUUGGAUAAGGAUCUCUUGAAGGAAUGGGAAAAUAGUGAAUAGAACUCGAAUUACCAAAAAUCAUAAUUCCUAAUCUUGACAAAAGAAAAUCGAUGAAAAUCGAAGACGAUUACCUGUAAAUAAAUUGAAUUGGGAAACUAGAAAGGAAAAUUGGGACGGGGAAGGGCGGUCGGUGUCCGAAACGAAAAAGAAUUCGAAUCAGGUGAAACGAAAGUUCUUAAUCUAAAAUUAGAUAAAAGAAAAUGGAGAGGGGGAAGGAUUCUCUCUUGUAGAGAAGUCGAAUUGGAAAAUUGUUGAAUGCCCAGAGCUCUCAAGCGAAUGAGAGCGAAACGAAAAAGAGUUCGAAUUAGGAGAAAUCAAAGUUCUCGAGUCUGAACGUGUCUAAAAUUUGAUAAAAGAAAAUGGAGGGCCGACGAAUUCUUGUAGAAAAAUCGAAUUGGGGAACUGUUGAAUGUCUGAAACUCUUAAGGGAAGGAAGAGACGGGAAUGGGGAAGAGGACAAUCGAUACCUGAAACGUCCGAAAAGUUUGUGACGCGGAACAAGUUAGUGUUUGACUCCGGGACGUUUGCACGGAAUCGUCGAUACCUUACGGCAGAUUUAGCGAUAAAUAGUAUUUAGUGAACAAUCCUAUGGAUUUCCCAUGGUGUUAAUCGUUUUUGUGCUCCGAUCCCAAUGGAAAACACGACGAUGAAACUCCAAGUUAAAUUCUCAGUUGAAUGGACUGAACCCGAGCGGGACUGUCAAAGUUGGAAGGCAUGGGGGAGUCAGCUGCUACGUUAUACAGGCCGAUGAACAAUGGUGGGAGAUAGGAGGCUCGAGUGGCUCUCGACGAGAAAGAAGAGAACGGGAGAAAGUACAUAGGAUGGAGGAGAAGAAGAAGAGGACGAAGAAGCAAAAGGGGAAGACUCGCAGCCAGAAGAACCUUGAUUCCUUGGCUCUCUUCGCUCUUUCCGUCUACUUCACUCAUCUUUUUCUAUUCCCUUUCACUUUCUUCCCUCACUUCAUGGGUGCUCAUCCCUGUAAGCUUCUAUCUAAUCCUUUGACGGCAGCCAUGCUGCACCAACGCCGAUCAUAUCUACUCUAUUAUUGAAAAUCUUCAAUUUAUUGCUAAGAAGAAAGAAUAUCCGUAUUUAUUAUUCAUAUAAGAUCCAUUUUUUAAUUGCUUCAAUAUUUUAGUUAUUUACUGUUGAAUGACAAAACGUUCGAAAUUAAGAAUUGAAUUAUUUUACAAAAAUCCAUGAAAAAUUACAUCUCUUAGUAAAUGACCAAAUGAGAACGUGUUAACACGGGAUAUGGGAAAUCUGAUAGAGAAUUGAAGCCGUGUUAACACGGCUACGAUCCUUUUCUAUUUUUCAGGAAGGAGGGGGAGGAGAACGACGAGGAAGGAGUGAAUAAUGGGCACGGGAAAUCGAAGAUUGAAAGUUACGAGCGGGCCUGACUCUUUGCUCGGCCCGUACCCCAUUUUUUAAUCCUGGGUGAGCAAAGUUUCAGGUGUGUCCGUGACUAGCUGUCAUCGUUGCACUGUUCAUCUUGUAUCAUCAAGCAAUGUAUUUAUCAGUAACGAGAAAGACGUUUAUUUAAGUAUUACGAUCUGAAUUAUUGAUCAAACUCUUACUUCACAAUUAUUAGAAAAAUGUGUCGAUUGCUCUUAUAUAAUACAUGGUUCUUCAUAUUUACGCGACGAUACUCCGACGCCUGAAAUUUGCUUUUUACCUGGCUCUACUUGCCAUCUCGAUUUAUGAUAGUAAAGGUGAGCAAAGUUUCAGGUGUGUGAGUGCGUUCGUAUCAACUGAGUUAAUCGCAACAAUUAUUAUAUUUAAUUAAGAAAAUUAUAUUGGAUUCACUGUAAUGUAAGAAAUAAAAUUAUACAUACAUCUGUAUCAAAUCAUUCUAAGUGAUAUUUUAAUAAAUCCUGUCUUGAGAAUAUAUUAAUCUCAUUUAGCUAAUAUGGACAAUGUAAAUAGCAGACACACACACACACACACUUCUACGGUUUUAUUUUAUUUCCUGGGGAUCAAAAUAUACUUCGAUCGCGUGCAGAAUAACUUGAUGAUAUAUGUAUAAAAUUAUGUUGUACUUUUAUAAUAAACCUGAGCUAAUAAUAAACCUUUAACAGACCCUUUCCUAAACCUUUAUGAUAUUUAUGCCUCGAAUAGAAUAACGAUAUGCAGUAUAUAUUUAAUAUAGUACGUACGAAUAUGUAAGAAGAAAAUUGUUACACGUAUGUGUACAAUUACAUUAUUGAUGUAAUUAAUGACGUUAGAUAUUAAAUUAUUACUAACUCUAACUCUUGCGAUUAGAAAAAUGGUUAAGAAACAAUAAAUCAAGUUGGAGACGA